rnacentral:rRNA from 1 species
UACGUAGGGGGCGAGCGUUGUCCGGAUUCAUUGGGCCUAAAGGGUGCGUAGGCGGGUUCUUAAGUCAGAGGUGAAAUCCUGGAGCUCAACUCCAGAACUGCCUUUGAUACUGAGAGUCUUGAGUAUGACAGAGGUGAGUGGAACUGCGAGUGUAGAGGUGAAAUUCGUAGAUAUUCGCAAGAACACCAGUGGCGAAGGCGGCUCACUGGGUCAUUACUGACGCUGAGGCACGAAAGCGUGGGGAGCAAACAGG